rnacentral:rRNA from 1 species
AUUCCUACGGGGGGCAGCAGUGAGGAAUAUUGGUCAAUGGGCGCAAGCCUGAACCAGCCAAGUCGCGUGAGGGAUGACGGUCCUAUGGAUUGUAAACCUCUUUUGUCGGGGAGCAAGGCCCGCCACGUGUGGCGGGAAGGAGAGUACCCGAAGAAAAAGCAUCGGCUAACUCCGUGCCAGCAGCCGCGGUAAUACGGAGGAUGCGAGCGUUAUCCGGAUUUAUUGGGUUUAAAGGGUGCGCAGGCGGAAUGUCAAGUCAGCGGUAAAAUUUCGGGGCUCAACCCCGUCGUGCCGUUGAAACUGGG